GUAGGUGGCAAGCGUUGUCCGGAAUUAUUGGGCGUAAAGCGCGCGCAGGCGGUUCUUUAAGUCUGAUGUGAAAGCCCACGGCUCAACCGUGGAGGGUCAUUGGGAACUGGAGAACUUGAGUACAGAAGAGGAAAGCGGAAUUCCACGUGUAGCGGUGAAAUGCGUAGAGAUGUGGAGGAACACCAGUGGCGAAGGCGGCUUUCUGGUCUGUAACUGACGCUGAGGCGCGAAAGCGUGGGGAGCAAACAGGAUUAGAUACCCUGGUAGUCCACGCCGUAAACGAUGAGUGCUAAGUGUUAGGGGGUUUCCGCCCCCCUUAGUGCUGCAGCUAACGCAUUAAGCACUCCGCCUGGGAGUACGGCCGCAAGGCUG
rnacentral:rRNA from 1 species